rnacentral:rRNA from 1 species
UACGAAGGGUGCAAGCGUUAAUCGGAAUUACUGGGCGUAAAGGGUGCGUAGGCGGUUCGUUAAGUCUGUCGUGAAAUCCCCGGGCUCAACCUGGGAAUGGCGAUGGAUACUGGCGAGCUAGAGUGUGUCAGAGGAUGGUGGAAUUCCCGGUGUAGCGGUGAAAUGCGUAGAUAUCGAGAGGAACACCUGCGGCGAAGGCGGGUUGCUGGGCUGACACUGACGCUGAGGCGCGAAAGCUAGGGGAGCGAACGGG